rnacentral:rRNA from 1 species
CCUACGGGUGGCAGCAGUGAGGAAUAUUGGUCAAUGGGCUUACGCCUGAACCAGCCAAGUCGCGUGCGGGAAGACUGCCCUAUGGGUUGUAAACCUCUUUUGUCAGGGAGCAACGCAGGCUACGUGUAUCCUGACUGAGCGUCACUGAAGAACAAACAUCGGCUAACUCCGUGCCAGCAGCCGCGGUAAUACGGUGGAUGCGAGCGUUAUACGGAUUUAUUGGGUUUAAAGGGUGCGUAGGCGGAAGGCUAAGUCAGCGGUAACAUCGCGGGGGUCAACCGCGCGCCGCCGUGGAAACUGGCGUUCUUGAGUGGGCGAGAAGUAUGCGGAAUGCGUGGUGUAGCGGUGAAAUGCAUAGAUAUCACGCAGAACUCCGAUUGCGAAGGCAGCAUACCGGCGCCCAACUGACGCUGAAGCACGAAAGCGUGGGUAUCGAACAGGAUUAGAUACCCGUGUAGUC